UACGUAGGCGGAAAAUUAAGUCAGUAGUGAAAUCCUGCAGCUUAACUGUAGAACUGUUAUUGAUACUGGUUUUCUUGAAUAUAGUUGAAGUAGGCGGAAUGUGUAAUGUAGCGGUGAAAUGCUUAGAUAUUACGCAGAACACCGAUUGCGAAGGCAGCUUACUAAGCUAUGAUUGACGCUGAGGUACGAAAGCGUGGGGAGCGAACAGGAUUAGAUACCCUGGUAGUCC
rnacentral:rRNA from 1 species